rnacentral:misc_RNA from 1 species
ACAAACUUGGUCAUUUAGAGGAAGUAAAAGUCGUAACAAGGUAACCGUAGGUGAACCUGCGGUUGGAUCAUUAAAAAAUUCCAACUAAAAGGGUAGUCCAUUUUGGGCUACUUCUUUUAAACACCUUUGUGAACCGUUUAUUGUCUCUGGUGGGUUAAAAGGUCGCAAGACUGGCUUAAUCGCUACCCACCUAUUUUAAACUAUUCUAAUUGUCUUUAAUUAUUUUAAUUCUUUGAAUUUAAAAACAACUUUUGACAACGGAUCUCUUGGUUCUCGCAUCGAUGAAGAACGCAGC